rnacentral:rRNA from 1 species
UACGAAGGGGGCUAGCGUUGUUCGGAAUCACUGGGCGUAAAGCGCACGUAGGCGGAUCUUUAAGUCAGGGGUGAAAUCCCGAGGCUCAACCUCGGAACUGCCUUUGAUACUGGGGAUCUCGAGUCCGGGAGAGGUGAGUGGAACUGCGAGUGUAGAGGUGAAAUUCGUAGAUAUUCGCAAGAACACCAGUGGCGAAGGCGGCUCACUGGCCCGGAACUGACGCUGAGGUGCGAAAGCGUGGGGAGCAAACAGGGAUUAAGAA